rnacentral:Y_RNA from 1 species
GGCUGGUCCAAGUGCAGUGGUGUUUACAACUAAUUGAUCACAGCCAGUUACAGAUCUCUUUGUUCCUUCUCCACUCCCACUGCUUCACUUGACUAGCUUUUU